rnacentral:tRNA from 1 species
GCCGGAGUGAUGGAAUUGGUAGACGUGACGGACUCAAAAUCCGUUGUUCCUUGGAACGUGUGGGUUCGAGUCCCACCUCCGGCACCA